AGAACGAACGCUGGCGGCAUGCCUAAUGCAUGCAAGUCGAACGAACUCUUCGGAGUUAGUGGCGCACGGGUGCGUAACGCGUGGGAAUCUGCCCCUUGGUUCGGAAUAACAGUUGGAAACGACUGCUAAUACCGGAUGAUGACGAAAGUCCAAAGAUUUAUCGCCAAGGGAUGAGCCCGCGUAGGAUUAGCUAGUUGGUGAGGUAAAGGCUCACCAAGGCAACGAUCCUUAGCUGGUCUGAGAGGAUGAUCAGCCACACUGGGACUGAGACACGGCCCAGACUCCUACGGGAGGCAGCAGUAGGGAAUAUUAGGACAAGUGGGCACGAAGCCUGAAUCCCAAGGCCAAAGUGCCGACGGUGAGUGAUGAAGGCCUUAAGGGUUGUAAAGCUUACCGUUUUACCGAGUACUGAUUAA
rnacentral:rRNA from 1 species